CGCUAGAAAACUUACUCACGUUACUUCCAUUUUCAACUCAAGUGACCCCUCUGUGCUUUCUAAUUACAGGUCGAUCUCACCAAUGAGCAUCCCAUGCAAAGUUCUAGAGCACAUCAUAUCAUCCGCAAUUAUGGAAUACCUAGUGGCCCGGACUGGAACGUUUAGUUAUACCCAUAACUCUCAUCUGGGAAGACAAGAGCAACCCAAAUGCCCCUGCAUCAACACCAUUGCUUAGCGCAGUGUAACUUUGAUGAAAGAAGAGACUGCAAACUUUAGCGAAAUACUUCAUAAGAGCGGCCAGGUGUAUGAAUUUCUCCUUCGCUCCAUGAAACGCAAACAAACAAACGAACAAAC